rnacentral:rRNA from 1 species
UGCAAGUCGUACGAGAGUUUUUAACUCAAGUGGCGGACGGGUGAGUAACACGUAAGAAUUUGCCUUUAGGAGGGGGACAACAACUGGAAACGGUUGCUAAUACCCCAUAUGCUUUCGAGUGAAAGGGUUUUUCCGCCUAGAGAGAAGCUUGCGGCUGAUUAGCUUGUUGGUAAGGUAAUGGCUUACCAAGGCGACGAUCAGUAUCUGGUUUGAGAGGACGAUCAGACACACUGGAACUGAGACACGGUCCAGACUCCUACGGGAGGCAGCAGUGGGGAAUUUUCCGCAAUGGGCGAAAGCCUGACGGAGCAAUACCGCGUGAGGGAUGAAUGCCUAUGGGUUGUAAACCUCUUUUUUCAGGGAGGAACAAAAUGACGUGUACCUGAAGAAUAAGCAUCGGCUAACUCCGUGCCAGCAGCCGCGGUAAGACGGAGGAUGCAAGUGUUAUCCGGAAUCACUGGGCGUAAAGCGUCUGUAGGUGGUUUAAUAAGUCAACUGUUAAAUCUCGAGGCUCAACUUCGAAACCGCAGUCGAAACUAUUAGACUAGAGUAUAGUAGGGGUAAAGGGAAUUUCCAGUGGAGCGGUGAAAUGCGUAGAGAUUGGAAAGAACACCGAUGGCGAAGGCACUU